UACGUAGGGACCAAGCGUUGUUCGGAUUUACUGGGCGUAAAGGGCGCGUAGGCGGUGCGGUAAGUCACUUGUGAAAUCUCUGAGCUUAACUCAGAACGGCCAAGUGAUACUGCAGUACUAGAGUGCGGAAGGGGCAAUCGGAAUUCCAGGUGUAGCGGUGAAAUGCGUAGAUAUCUGGAGGAACACCGGUGGCGAAGGCGGCAUCCUGGACCGGUAUUGACGCUGAUGCGCGAAAGCCAGGGGAGCAAACGGG
rnacentral:rRNA from 1 species